rnacentral:rRNA from 1 species
ACCCUUUAAUGUUUGAUGUUCUAACGUGGACCCGUAAUCCGGGUUGCGGACAGUGUCUGGUGGGUAGUUUGACUGGGGCGGUCUCCUCCUAAAGAGUAACGGAGGAGCACGAAGGUUGGCUAAUCCUGGUCGGACAUCAGGAGGUUAGUGCAAUGGCAUAAGCCAGCUUGACUGCGAGCGUGACGGCGCGAGCAGGUGCGAAAGCAGGUCAUAGUGAUCCGGUGGUUCUGAAUGGAAGGGCCAUCGCUCAACGGAUAAAAGGUACUCCGGGGAUAACAGGCUGAUACCGCCCAAGAGUUCAUAUCGACGGCGGUGUUUGGCACCUCGAUGUCGGCUCAUCACAUCCUGGGGCUGAAGUAGGUCCCAAGGGUAUGGCUGUUCGCCAUUUAAAGUGGUACGCGAGCUGGGUUUAGAACGUCGUGAGACAGUUCGGUCCCUAUCUGCCGUGGGCGCUGGAGAACUGAGGGGGGCUGCUCCUAGUACGAGAGGACCGGAGUGGACGCAUCACUGGUGUUCGGGUUGUCAUGCCAAUGGCACUGCCCGGUAGCUAAAUGCGGAAGAGAUAAGUGCUGAAAGCAUCUAAGCACGAAACUUGCCCCGAGAUGAGUUCUCCCUGAGACUUUAGGUCUCCUGAAGGAACGUUGAAGACGACGACGUUGAUAGGCCGGGUGUGUAAGCGCAGCGAUGCGUUGAGC